GCCGUGGCUCAGUGGGAGAACAUCUGCUUUGAAUGCAGAAGGUCCCAGGUUCAAUCCCUGGCAUCUCCA